GGGCCGUUAGCUCAGUUGGUAGAGCAGCUGACUCUUAAUCAGCGGGCCGUAGGUUCAACCCCUACACGGCCCACCA
rnacentral:tRNA from 5 species